rnacentral:rRNA from 1 species
UAGGGAAUAUUGGUCAAUGGAGGCAACUCUGAACCAGCCAUGCCGCGUGCAGGACUAAGGCCCUAUGGGUCGUAAACUGCUUUUGAAUGGGAAGAAAUGUAUCUACGUGUAGAUAUUUGACGGUACCAUUAGAAUAAGGAUCGGCUAACUUCGUG